GUUAGCUUUUAGAUGAUUAUAGCCUUAAAAAAAUAAAAUCUUGACAAGCUCCUUAAAAUACUUUUAGGCAAUGUGGACUACUAGCAUUUCAACAAUAGAAGACUGUGAAAAUCUUAAUGAAAAAAACAUUUACUAAAAGGUGUUGGACUUUGUACUCUCUAGUUCAUAAAACAAGAAAUUCAUUCUUGUUCAACCUUGUGUCCAAGCCUCCCACUGCACAAUGAUUCAUUUUCUCUGAAGUUAAGAAAACAGAAGAAUUCUCUCACAAACAAAACCAAACAUAAAUUCUGAAGAUGAAUCCUAUUUCUUUGGAACUUAAGUCUGCAGAGAAAGAACACUAUCAAUUAGAUGUGAUUUGGAGUGAAAUGGCUGGUCCCUUCUCCAAGAUUUAUGGAGGAUAUAAACAUGGACACACCAUAAAUAAAACAAGCUGGGCUGGGGAAGACGACCAAAGAUGUGACCCUUGACAUGUCUGUGAGUGGCUCUUCAGUGAAGGCCAGGGGCCCCAAAGGAGUGCCAGAAGAAGAAUGCCCCUCAAAACUGUUCAGGUGCUCCCACCAAAGUCUGAUUUGAGCUGUCUGCUUUGGAGACACUUGAGCCAUGCCAACUCCAGGAAUUUGUCUGGACCUUCAAGAGAAAGGCCAUAACCUUCCCAGUUUAAUGGGGCACCAUUAAUUCAGCAGCUGGCAGUGUCCUGGUACUGCCAUGGGGUUAUGCUGCUUCUGGGUACACUGACAGCCCUCUUGAAGCACAGCUAAUGGGUUACAUCAGUUUCUCAGCUGCAAAUCCACUGGCCUUCUGGGAUGCUAACAUCCUCCGAAGAGAACAGUAGGAAAGGGGAAAAAAUAGAGAAGAACAGCAAAGGCUGAGGAAAGCAGGAGAAGCCAGGGUUUUCAAGAAAGAAGAUGAUGUAGGUAACUGAGAAGGAGCAAAAUAGUCACAAAAAACUGAGGUCUGGCAGUUGCAAGGAAAUCUGAAAAUGCAGCACAUUCCUUGUACAGCAGAAGACACAUUUGGGAUGUUGUACUACUAGUAACCACAUGCUGAAGUAGGUCAGUUCAUAAACAGCAGUCAUUGCCUUUGGGCCCAGCUCUGGUAUUUGCACUGGCACAAGGAGCAGGCACCCGUGGGUAAGAGGGUGCAACACACUGUCAAACCUAUCACACCCUCAGAUGCUGUCCUCAUCUCCAAGAACAGCCAGCCCUUUCUCUGGCUAUGCCUGCACUGUUUGUUAGUUCUGGGUCUGAGUUUGUGCUCAAGACCAGCACUCUCUACCACCUGUGCUGGCUUGUGAAUGCUGAACUCCAGACCUGCCUGGAGUGGUGAAACCUUAAAUACUUGUAUUAUGCUAUCGCAUGCUUCCAAAUUUUCCUUUACAUAGUGUAGACAGACUGACAUCAGCUGGAUUGAAUUAAAGUGGUCCACCAUGAGAUGUUCUUAAACUUGGGUCUUCCUAAGCACAGCCCA
rnacentral:lncRNA from 1 species